UACGUAGGGGGCAAGCGUUGUCCGGAAUCAUUGGGCGUAAAGCGCGUGUAGGCGGCCCGGUAAGUCCGCUGUGAAAGUCCAGGGCUCAACCCUGGAAUGCCGGUGGAUACUGUCGGGCUCGAGUCCGGAAGAGGCGAGUGGAAUUCCUGGUGUAGCGGUGAAAUGCGCAGAUAUCAGGAGGAACACCAAUGGCGAAGGCAGCUCGCUGGGACGUUACUGACACUGAGGCGCGAAAGCGUGGGGAGCGAACAGG
rnacentral:rRNA from 1 species